UAUUGUACAUUCAAAUAUAUAUUCUCACAAUAAAGUCGCAGAAAUUUGCCAAAUUACACAUAAUGUCACUGUAUUAACAGUUUGAAGAAAAGGUGCGAUUACGGUCCAAGUGUAUUAAUUAGAAUUUUAGGAAAUGACAUUUCUAAAGAUCGAAACUACUUUAUAGACAGUUACUUGAUACUUGUGUACCUGUUGGAUGAUGUUAGGAUUGGAUUGGCAAACUACAAACGGUCCUGCAGCCACGUGAACACGCAUUACGAGUGUGGUGCUUUUUUAAACUAUGGCACAUGACAAAGGGUGUUUUUAGAAUAUUGAUAUCGAAGCUGUUGAGCUUUCAGGGGGUGAGAGAAACCGAAGGAGUGGGUAGGAAUGGAAACUUUGAACGCACAUACGUGAGACGACGCCAAACCCGACGACGCAAGCUUUCGUUUUCAUUUCUUUUUUAUCUUUUAUUCGCGAUGGACCAACCCCUUUCUCCAUUCCAUUUGCAUUCGUGCACGCUGGCUUUUUUUCCUUGGGACGACGCGUUUCCAAAGGUUCGACACGUUGGUUCGUGUGAUCUGACAAUCUCUGUUCGCUUUCAUGCAGUCUACUUUUAUUUUUGUUCUUUUCUUUCCUCCUUUUUGUUUUUUAAUCAACUGAAAGGCGCUCAAAGUAUCAGCUCUCUGUUUCUCUUUCUCUCCUUGUUUUUCGCUGUCGUGGGAAAGUAGGUCCUGUUAAAAUUGCCGAAAAGUGAAUGUAACUAAAAUAAGAUCUAUAUGAAUUUCGAACGACUGAACUUUUUAUCAUACUACGAAUAACAAUAUGAAUGGAACAGUCUUAAAUGGGUGCAAUCUUCUAUAUCGAUUUUACGUUAUUUUAUUUGUCCAAGUAAUCUGCCAUCGAUCAGGAUUUAUUUUUUGUAACUUUCUUGGUAGACAGUGUUGUGAAUAAUAUUUUUAAAAUGAUGAUUCAAAAUGAUGUCUAAAGAAACAUGGCUCAUUAUAAAUAUAUAUAUUGUUAUUAUCUUGUGCGAAUGAAUAUAUUAAUUUCAUUUUCAAUGCCACUAAUAUCGCUAGACAUAUACGAAAAUGUAUAUUUAUAAACGCAAACAUUCAGAGUACACCGACAGCGACAGAAAUUGCCCUGAGCACAAUUGAUGCACCAUGUUGUUCGAUAUAUUGACAAUGCCCAUUUACGAAAUUGCGAAACUGCCUUCGAAUUCGAGGGUUCUCCGACGAGGGGUUCGGUUCCGGCACUAACAUCUUUUACUGUCAGACCGCAUAUUCGAUGUUUCCACAGUUUACAUUGCUCCUCGACAAAGGAGGCCUGCUGUCGCGAUUCUCGAUGAAAAGACACAAGAAAAAUCCAGCGGUAAGAUGGAAAUGAUGGAACAGACAUGAGAAGGGUGAAACGGGGUGACAUAAUGGUCGACGUGACAACGGCUGACUAGCAUCCGAUACAAAAGAACAUUUCCAUUUAAGUAUAUUGAAAAUGUACACACAGAGAGAUUUUUUCUAUCGAGAACAAACAGAGAAAAAUUGGCAGAUUAUUUUGGAAGGAUUAUUGGAUUAUUUAGUUAAUCAUAAUCAAGAUAAUCGAUCGCAGAUUUUUGAUCUUUUCUUUAAAUUAGAGACUUUAAUUAGAAAUUUGAAAAACAUUAAUCGAUAUGCUAUCUGACAUAGAUCGAUUGAUAAAGAUAUAGUAUAUCAGUAGUACAGUAAUAAAGGCAUAAAAUAAUACAAAAUCAAAUUCGUUACAGGGGGUUCGAUCGAACACUCCCACGCUGAUUUUCAUUGAUAUACGAUGCGAUUUCAAAAAACAUUUCCGUCUAGUGGAAGGGCAGAGCGAUGGAUGGGAGCAAGAAAUUAAAGGCAAUGACAAAUUCACGUCGUGCAGAUAAUUGGAAUAAAUAAAGGAAUAAUGGAGGUAGGUUAAGAAAGGGAAAAAGUGAGCGGAACACCGCGAGGAGGAGCCGGGAGGACGGACGGUUAUAACCCCUUGACAUCGGUAAUUAAAUGAAAACAAAAAGGAAGUAAUCGUACGGUCUCGAGGGGACGAGUCAAGACGGAGAAAGGAGGGAAUCUGAUAGGGAAGCAAGACAAUGCCCUCUUGGUCGUGCAAGAAUGAAAUGUCACCCACCGGACACGGACCAGCGAUUCGUUUGAAUCGUCGUUCUUCCGGUCCAUCUUUAUAUUCCCGAAGCCCUUUCCUCCUCCGCCUACGUCGAAUCAACUUCCAUCGAUUCGAUGGAAAAUGUCGCGGAUCGAUCUUACCUUCUUUUCUCAAUUAUUCUAUAUACAACCUCUAUCUUUGUUUCUUCAAUUUAUCUAAAAGAGGAUCUACAUAAAUGUUUUAUAAUCUCAAUAGGUACGUCGAAUGUUUCAAAUGGAAAUAUAGGAAGAGUGAAUUUUCAAUAAUUUUGUUUACUUUCUGUACGAAAACUGUCGAAGAAAAUUUCAAAAACUCUAUCUGAUAAAAGUGCUUGAAGACUUAUCUUAAAAGACGCUUGUGUGUGUGUGUCCUGUAAAACAUUUUGAAAUUUCAUUAGCACUGUAAUAAAAUGGAUAUUCUAUGUGCAAAAGUUAGAAGCAUUUAUUGCAAACACAUACAUAACAAAAUAUUAACACUCAGUAGCAAUAUUAAACGUACAAUUAGCGCUGAAGCUGAUCUCACUAAAUAUCGUGACUUACUAAAAUAAUUUAUAAUUAAUCGCCCAACAAUCUGUAUACUUGUAAUAAAUGCUUCUUAACUUCUUUGUACAUUUUCGGAUUCAUUUCAAAUUUAACUAUCGUGAUAGUCGGAUUUAAUUACAGUACAAAAUAUUAAAAUACUUCGUGUAACACACGUAAUAUGUUCAUAGGACUAGUCUUAAUAUAUCGUCAGGACUUUCUACAAGUGUGGGGAUACUUUCGUGAACCACGAUACGUCGCGUCGAUAUCACGUUUCACCGAACAUCGUUCGAUACAGUGCAAUUCAAUUGUCCGUCGUUGGAAACGAUUCGAAGAGCGCAUUGAGAAAGCGAGGGCGCAAAUCGACGUGGCUCUCGCUGCUUUUGACAGUGACGCAUUACUUUGAAAUCGUCUUGGCCACCCCAGCUCUUAAUACAAGGCAGACAAGCCGCGCCGCCGACAUCGGAAAGCGUUACCAAAGACAUCACAGAGCGAUCCAGAGUCGAGCAAUAUGCCAUCAAAUCCCCGUAACCAUCAAUAUCUUUUCGUUCCCGGCCGUAGAAAUCGCCCGUCCGGAUCUCCACCCUUCUGGCUGCGCUGAAAUGUUUUACAUUGCAAAAUCAAUGCCGCCAUCGAGGCCACCCUCUGUCACGAUACAAAACCGACGCAGCCCUUCGUGGCGGUGCGGCGGCUGUUCCUACGAUCUCUUCCGGUAAAUCGCACAAUUAUUGAAAACGCGUUCCUGAUCUUCUUCCCUCUUCCGUUUCCUAUCCAUCGGAUACCAUCCAGAAGAACGCGGUGAAACGAUCUGCUAUUAAUUGCGUGAUUCUUUUUUCCUUUUGCGCGAUGCUUUUGUCGAACGAGCUUUGAAAUGGAAGCGAACGUUCCUGGGACUCGUGUUCUACGUAGAUACAGAGGUUUGUAAAAUCUUUCAAUCUGGAUAAAGAUGUCUAGAGAGUAGAAGAAGAUGAUAUCCCUACAGGUUGUUUCGUGUGUGUUAAAAUGCGUAUGGAACAGAUUUAUAUUGAUUAUAUUGAUUGGAAAUUUGUAAAAUCGUGACGUUUGAUGCGAACCGCAUUUUUAUAGAAUGCGUGUUUCGAUGUUUUGCUAGAAGCGCAGCGAACUUUGUCAGAAGUCUUCCUGAAGAGUAACUCUCACACUUGGAUGCCUUGAUUCUUAAAAUUCUGCAAUACUAAACGGCGAAAACCUCACAUUUGUCGUAUCAAUUAAGAGGUAGGAAUAUUCUCGAAUUAAUACAAAAGUUGAAUGAAUAUUAAUUUCGCCAAUUUUAGGAAUCCUACAAAGAUAUAAUAUUUUAAUGAAUAGAGGAAAAUAAUAUAUUGGAAAUUUAUUGUACUAUUUUCCAUCUAUCUCGUAAACUAGGAAAGAAUUAUCUUGAGACCAAUUGGCAAUUUUAAUAAUUUGAAUUUUCAAGCUUUAGAAGAUUCUAAAAACGUGCAGUAUCUACAUCGUAAAUCACGCAUAAUAUUCAAUGAGUAGAUCUUCAAUAUUCAAUUCAGUACCGUGCAAUAAUAUUUCGAAUUCGUAUAUACGUAUUACAUCAUCGCGUUUAAAUUAUUCGCGCAAUUGAAAUGAUUUCCCUGGCAAGCUUGCUUGCCGGGCUCGGCGCGCAUUUGCACGAACAUAGGAACGUUCGGUGAAGUCGUUACGUUUGAUCGCCACGAUUCAUGGUAUAGUAACGCGUUAUCUGCCGGUGAAGUCGCAAAUAUUCCACGGUUCGAUGAAGCACCGAGAAAUUGGGAUGUGCCGGAUAAUACAUUAUGCACCGUCCAAUCUCGCAGGUGAUUUCCCUCGAAUCGAGAGAGGCAAUCACCCUUUUUAAAUACUCAACGGUCGGCUCGAGAGGACCAAUAAAAGCUCACUUCGCGGAUUGGGUAAUAAAGCUCCAAUCAACGGCUUAAUUAUUCGAUUACGAGUCGGCCUGGCAAGAAGGAUCGAGGAACCCCGGAUCCCUGGUUUGUUUCCGGCCAGUGGAUUACGGAAUCGAAGGUAAUUAGAAAUAAAUAGUAACGAAUCCCUUGUUCAUUCUCCCCUGCUUCUCUGGUUAUCUUGCUCUUAUUGCUUUAAUUAAAACGCAACGUUAAGACACCAGGCAAUCUUUGUUCUUUUCUUUUUAGGAAGAAAUGUUUCCAAUCUGUAUAUGUUGAUUUUACUGAAAUUUACGUAAUAUUUUAUGCUGUUUGUUUCUAGAAGAGUAUACGUAAUAUUUGACGUGUAUUAUUUUUCGUUGGUAAAAACCCGUAUUUAGGGGUGAAGACAGUCCUCAAAGUCGAAGGUCCGAAUUACGUUAGAAUUAGACGGUGUACAGUGGAAUAUGUAGCAGAGUAAAUCUCUUUUGAGAUCAAACAACAAAUACAAUUGAAAGCUAAAUAUGGGAAUAUCGACAAAACCAAGAGACAAUAAAAUUGUGGAAAGAAGAUAUUCGUCGCGAAACAACCAAAUGCUAAUAGUAAUCUUAAAAAGUUCAAAAAAUAAUAGACGGACAUAUAUACAAUGAUUGACUUAAAAGAAAUAUAAUAAAGAGCGUAAAAAAUGGGAAAUUAUUUUUGAUUGUCUAAUUUAUUUAAAGCUUACUACGUUCAAAAAUGAAAAAAGCAAAGAAAUGCAACCGCAAGUCCUUCCAUCCGGCAACUGUAAUAUCGUCGAACUAUUCGUUAAUACCGGUAUAUCGAUAUAUUUAUGACUGUCCCUAAGGAAUUUAUAAUCAUCGUCGUCUCGAUAAACGAUAGAAGGGAGAAAACAUUAUAGAAAGGGUAGGGGGAGCAAUUCGAUCUGGCGGCAUUAAUGCAGGUUUUAAUGAUCGCCGAUAUAUCGAGGAGAGCUUUUGAAUAUCGUCGCGUACGGGAAGACGAAUCGUUUCUUCACGGAGCUUUAUUAAAUCCGUGUUCUCGGAACGCGAGCAAGCGCGAGGAUCGUUCGAGAACGGGGCGUUAAUACGUUCGACAAUUUUUAUGCUCACGCUCCGGAGACAUAUUGGCGGCUUUAAUGCGACAUAAAAUUUCACAGCCCUGUCGGGCUACCGACAAUAUAUAUCGGCGCCACCUAUAUUGAAAUACAUAUUUCAUGCGGACGCGAUCAUCGCCGCGUUUACCUUUUUACACCAACCCCAUCUGAGCUUCCUUCGGAUAUUCGAAUCACUGAAUCACUCGCCACGUUCGAGGCUGUUAACGCGCGCCGGGGGUGUAUCAAAAGUCAUAUUAAAUUCAUGCAUCCCGACGCGACCAUCGAUAUUCCGUUUGGUCCACGUUUUGUAAUUUUUACAGGAAAUGACCUGUUUUUUUUAUUCGCGGCUCCGCUCUUUUCCUUUCUUCCGUUAAUUUGUAAACUAUGAGAACUUUAGGUAUGUUUCAUGAAUUCUGUCGUUUCUUUGUUAACAAUUUUUGACCAAGUGUCAAGCAUAUCUUCUUUUUUCGUUGCGCACUUUCCCAACGGUUACUUUAUCUUAAAUAAGUGUAAAUUUAAACAGAAUUGACCAAAUGCUGAAAGAACGAUAAUCAAGAGUGUAUUAGUUAAAAUAGGCGUGGUUAAUACUGAAACAUUGGUUACAUGCAUUUAGAUAGGAUACAAAUACAAUUCAAAUCACUCAACAGUUUCUUAGCUAUUUUUUAACUUAUUUUAGUUUGACAAAAAAGUACUUAAUACAAGUUAUAUAUUUUACGAAGUCUGAGAUAGCCAAAUAAAUUUAUCAAAAUCGGACAGCGUUACUCGGUUCCCCGUGCAUUCGUAUUCAUUUGUCGUAUGAAAUAGCAACUUUGGUUUUUGCAAAAUUGAAAUUUGUCGAAAUUCAGACCGACAGCAUAGCUGCUUGCUAAAUAAUUACCAACGUUGCGAUCGUAGACCGAAACGCUUCGAAGAAGCUGCAACUACAAUCAUGCUCUAAGCUAACAGCCGUCCAUCGAGAUAUUCGAACUUUCAUGGAGCACAGUUCGACUCGUGGAAUAUGACUUGAAAGUAUGAAUUCUGACGGGUGGCUGAAGACGAAGUUGCGAUGGGUGGGACCGGUAUUCUUCUUCGAGGCGGCGUUUCCCCACCAACUUUAUUAGAUAUUUUCUUCAAUAGGAUAGAAAUGCAAAUAACAGUUGUCAAGUAACUUCCUCCCGUUGAGUGGAAGAAAUAGACGGGUCCAAGACGAAGGACGGACGAAGAUCGACUGAAAAUGGAAGAUAGGAAGACGAUGUCGGAGUACCAAUAUUGAGUCGUGGGCACAAUCGGACGCAUUAACCCUUUGCCAGACGAGAAGAAAUUCACCAACGAUCUAGCUUUGAGGAAUCUGGCAACUGAGGAUGGAGGUUCUGAUUUUGCGUGGCCGCGAAAAGUCCAUUGAAAGCAUUGAUAUGAAAUAAUUGAAGUAGAAAAUAUAUUUUAUAAAAAUACGUAGAUAGUUAAAACAAAAGAAUCAGCUAAUAUAGAUAAUUAACCUGAGAAUGGAAGGAUAGUAUAGGAAAAUACGUUUUUAAUUGGAUUAAUUACUUCGUAUAAAAAUUGUAUAAUGUGCAUAAUAAAACAUAUGUACUACUAAUAUUAACAAAAAUGAUAAGUCUGUGAAACGGUAUAAUAGGAACGAAAUACCAAACGUGUGAAACGACCAAGGUUCAGAUAUCGAGAAGAAAAAUCCCUGGAAACAUUGAUCAGUGUGUCAAAGGAAAAAUUGUUAUAAAGACGGAAUCCUAAAGGUAUUAGAAAUCUGCAAAUCGAGAAGAAUAACCCUUGGUAAUUUCAAUUCUCUGUCGUAACGUCAUACGAUAUAGGAGUAACCAAUUAAAAUUGCCACGAUCACGCUUCAAGCGGAUGGAUUAAUUAAGUUCAGCGACAGCUGUAGAAUGUAAAGUUAUUAGUACGAACAAGUUGUCCGCUAUGCGUUCCGAAUUAAAUGACGAUUCACCGAUACAAUUGGUAAUAUCACGAUCAUAGCUAUUCUUGACUCUGAUUCACGCUCCUAAAUGAAAGAAUCGUGAAACGGCUGGAAUUCUUUCGUAAAUAAUUAAAGAGGUCAUCUUUGUGUCGCAACCACGCUCACACUUUAAAAAGAAUAAGACGAGAUAGAUAUAUUUCUUAAUGUACUUUAAUAUGUGAUUAAUUAAUAGAAAUGGUUGAAUUUGAAUUUCUAAUUGCUCGAAUAUAAUAACCAGGCCUAUUCAAGUUGACGUAUUUAGAUAAUUACGAGAAUACGAACAUUGGAAAAACAGAAUGGUUGGAGAGUUCGAAGAGUGACGAGACAUCUAAACUGAUUUCUCUUCUUCCGUAGGAACAAUUUUGUAACAUCUUAAUUAAUAAUUUUAUAAUAUUUACGAGAGACUAUUUCCUAAUUACCUUUUUCUAGCUUGCGCACUUUGAUAACGUUGAAAAAAUCUGAAAUAACACACAGAUAGGAAUUACACAAACGAAGGGUCGGUGAAUUUUUAGAUCCUGGCAAUUUUACUUUAUGUAAAAAAAACGAUGAUAAUUCGUAAGAAACAUACUUCAACGGUUACUCAGCCGCGAAAAUAUUUUGCUGAAUCUACAUUUUAAUUCCGAUGUACGUCUUCGGUCGGCUGAGUAAACGGAGGAGAGAGAAUAAACGUAGACGGGGACUUUAUUCGAUUUGCCUUCAUAUUUUUGUAAGCUGCGGCUCCGCUCCGUUUUCAUCUCGCCUUUCUCGUGAAUUUUAUAAUUAAUUAUCUUAAUGCAUUCGAUUCGGCGUUCCUUCCAUUUUCUCCGGCCGCUGUUCUCCGCAAAUCCCGGCGAAAGAUGCCUGAACGUUUCCUCGCUUUUUUCCACCAGCGGAACGUGAUUUCCGUUUCCACACUCUCGUUUAUCGAUUAUUUCCGAAGAAUGCUUGACGAGAAAUAGCUUUAUUUCUGUAUUAAUCUUGGAUCGGCUAUAAGCGAACAAAAGUAUGCACUUUUGUAAUGGCGUUCCAUGCGGUAUAUUCUGAUAUUCCGAAGACAAAGCCGCAUUAAUAAUAAAAAUCGACUGUAUAAUUUUUGUAAUUUUUAACAAUUUUAAUAUUUACUGUACUCUUUUAAAAUAAAAUUUUAACGUGGAAGGGGUUGCCACUGUUUUUAAUACACUAAUUAUGUAAUACUUUUUAAUUAAAAUUGUGUGUAACUAAA